GCGGCCAAUGUAGUCAGUCUGGGGACCCACCUCCCCCUUUCAGCUGAGCGCACACAACACAGCAUCCACGUGAGUCAGCUUCUUAAAGGCGAAGGCUUGGCCUGUCUAAUUGCGGCAGCUGCGAGACAUCGCACGUCAUUAGCGUCACCAGGUAGCGGCUGGAGCCGAGCUUCCUGAUACCUAGUGAGCCGCGGUGAUGACAAAUGAAAACAAUAAGCUGUUUCCUAGACAAACAGCUGCCUAGUUUCGCUCUGUCGCCCAGGCUGGAGUGCAGUGGCACAAUCUCGGUUCACUGCAACCUCUGCCUCCCGGGUUCAAGCAGUUCUCUUGCCUCAGCCUCCCAAGUAACUGGUACUACAGAGAAUUGAUACAAAAAAUGAUCAUGUGAAGAAUUUGCAUCUUCUGCAGAACUACCGGUAUCAGUCAGCAGUAGGAGAUUGUAUAAAUUCAGCCUGAGAUUCCAGAAUAUUCUGUGUAUUGACCACCACAGCAAGAAGAAAAAGUCCAUGUAGGACUGAAAUCUUUAGCUCCCUGGGUGAGCUACCAUCCCGAUACCAGAGCCGGCGCUGCAGGUGUGCUUAGCCAGCCCAGCCAGGGCCGAAGAUACUGACAAGACCGGAGGAGGCCCCUCUCGAGACUGAGUGACUCACACCACCUGCAGAGAGCACAGUUGCCACGAGCCUUGCUCAUCCUCCUCGAGCAGCUAAAUUUAUAUUCUGAGAGCAGAACACUGGCGCUGGAGCUGUCAGGAGGGAACAGGGAGGAGAUGGGAAGGAAGAGUGCCAUCAUCUUGGAGCGGGCUCGGGGGUGGAAGUGGAUUCACAUUCUAAGGGCUUUGUAAGUGAGCCCACAAGAUUUUUCAUGGAGAAACUGGUGUCUGAGAAAUUACAGUUUUCUCUUAAAUGUUCCCCUCUCCUCCACUUAAACCCCAGUAACAGCUGUCAAGGUCAAGGGAAAAUCUUCCCUUUCAUUCUCUGAAGUUUUGCUGAAAAAUCAACUCACAAAAGGCAGAUAAUAAGAGAAAAGGCAUAAUACACAUUUAUUAGCAUGCACAAAGCUGAAUCAGAGUGACUGCCCCAUAUCCUGGUGGGGCCCAGAUACUUACAUAGCCUUAUUUCAGAUGGAAGCGGGGAGAUGGGGAAUAUAGGUACUUCUGUUGAGAGGCAAGAAAUGAUUACUAGGGAGAAUGAAUGGAUCGGGAACAUAGAUUAACUUGUAAAUGGUUAUCUCUGGAAAUUGAAUGAGCCUGAGAGACAGACGUUAUCCUGUGAAAGGGUCUCUUCAGGUGUGGUUACAUUGGAUAGAUAAUAAGAUAACAGGAAGAAGAAGGAAAAACAAUUACUUUCCUUGGUGGGUUCACCUGGUCUUUAUGCAGAUAGGAUAAAAGUCUCUUCUAGCAUCUGUUGAUCUCUAAGGGCCUUCAAAAUACUCAUUAUAGGCCAGACAUGGUGGCUUAUACCUGUAAUCCCAGC
rnacentral:lncRNA from 1 species